rnacentral:rRNA from 1 species
UGGGGAAUAUUGCGCAAUGGGGGGAACCCUGACGCAGCCAUGCCGCGUGAAUGAAGAAGGCCUUAGGGUUGUAAAGUUCUUUCGGUAUUGAGGAAGGUUGAUGUGUUAAUAGCACAUCAAAUUGACGUUAAAUACAGAAGAAGCACCGGCUAACUCCGUGCCAGCAGUCGCGGUAAUACGGAGGGUGCGAGCGUUAAUCGGAAUAACUGGGCGUAAAGGGCACGCAGGCGGUUAUUUAAGUGAGGUGUGAAAGCCCUGGGCUUAACCUAGGAAUUGCAUUUCAGACUGGGUAACUAGAGUACUUUAGGGAGGGGUAGAAUUCCACGUGUAGCGGUGAAAUGCGUAGAGAUGUGGAGGAAUACCGAAGGCGAAGGCAGCCCCUUGGGAAUGUACUGACGCUCAUGUGCGAAAGCGUGGGGAGCAAACAGGAUUAGAUACCCUGGUAGUCCACGCUGUAAACGCUGUCGAUUUGGGGGUUGGGGUUUAACUCUGGCGCCCGUAGCUAACGUGAUAAAUCGACCGCCUGGGGAGUACGGCCGCAAGGUUA